rnacentral:snoRNA from 1 species
GAGGUAACGAUGAUUAUAAAAAUAAUUUCUCAUUUUAAUUUGUUUAAUUUGGACAUGACAAACCUCUUAUUACAACCAUAGAAUCUCAGCUCU